rnacentral:rRNA from 1 species
AUUGAACGCUGGCGGCAUGCCUUACACAUGCAAGUCGAACGGCAGCACGGGAGCAAUCCUGGUGGCGAGUGGCGAACGGGUGAGUAAUAUAUCGGAACGUGCCCAGUCGUGGGGAUAACGUAGCGAAAGCUACGCUAAUACCGCAUACGAUCUAUGGAUGAAAGCGGGGGAUCGCAAGACCUCGCGCGAUUGGAGCGGCCGAUAUCAGAUUAGGUAGUUGGUGAGGUAAAGGCUCGCCAAGCCGACGAUCUGUAGCUGGUCUGAGAGGACGACCAGCCACACUGGGACUGAGACACGGCCCAGACUCCCUACGGGAGGCAGCAGUGGGGAAUUUUGGACAAUGGGCGCAAGCCUGAUCCAGCAAUGCCGCGUGCAGGAUGAAGGCCUGGUUGUAAC